rnacentral:rRNA from 1 species
CACGCUUAGGCGUGUGACUGCGUACCUUUUGUAUAAUGGGUCAGCGACUUAUAUUCUGUAGCAAGGUUAACCGAAUAGGGGAGCCGAAGGGAAACCGAGUCUUAACUGGGCGUUAAGUUGCAGGGUAUAGACCCGAAACCCGGUGAUCUAGCCAUGGGCAGGUUGAAGGUUGGGUAACACUAACUGGAGGACCGAACCGACUAAUGUUGAAAAAUUAGCGGAUGACUUGUGGCUGGGGGUGAAAGGCCAAUCAAACCGGGAGAUAGCUGGUUCUCCCCGAAAGCUAUUUAGGUAGCGCCUCGUGAAUUCAUCUCCGGGGGUAGAGCACUGUUUCGGCAAGGGGGUCAUCCCGACUUACCAACCCGAUGCAAACUGCGAAUACCGGAGAAUGUUAUCACGGGAGACACACGGCGGGUGCUAACGUCCGUCGUGAAGAGGGAAACAACCCAGACCGCCAGCUAAGGUCCCAAAGUCAUGGUUAAGUGGGAAACGAUGUGGGAAGGCCCAGACAGCCAGGAUGUUGGCUUAGAAGCAGCCAUCAUUUAAAGAAAGCGUAAUAGCUCACUGGUCGAGUCGGCCUGCGCGGAAGAUGUAACGGGGCUAAACCAUG